rnacentral:lncRNA from 1 species
CAAUAUCCUGCUGAUGUUUUAGAAGAUAACUAGCAGCUAAUGAUGCAUGAAGUGCAGCUCCGUAAGGGAGUCCAUCUUCAUUGAUUUUGAGAUAAGGUGAGUGUAAUGAUGGCACAAACCGUUCAUGUUCGGCAUUCUUCAUUCCAAGGAAGAAAAAGUAACCAGGUAUGACCUCUUGAUAGAAUGAAAAGUCUUCAGCUCCCAUGAAUGGAGACAUGGCACUUUCGACUUUAUUGAUACCUAGCAUAUUCACUGCCACAUUCACAAAAUGUUCAUGCAAGUCGCCGUUGUUUAUAGUUGGAGGAUAGAAAGGUUUCACUUCAUCAAGGAAGUCCACAGUUGCAUUGCACCUUUGCACAGCAGCUUGCCCAAUGAUAACCUGCAUAAGUGCAUUAACCUUAGGGCACGUUUGGAUUGACUUAUUUUAGUUUAUUUACUUGCAUAAACACUUGUGAGACUGUUUGGGAGAGCUUAUAGAAACAGCUUAUGACAUGUCCGUAAGCUCUCUAUGAUAGCUUAUGAAAACAACUUAUAGCUUAUAUUGGAAACAAUCUUUUGUUACAAAAAGAGUUUAUACAUAAGCACUUGUAUGAUAAGUGCUUAUAUUAUAAGCGUUUAAGUUGUUUUGUCCCUAUGAAGAUUGAAUGAAAAAUACAGUAUAAGUGCAAACAUCUCUUUUGUUGCAAUAGAAGCUCAUGAGCUUAUGCAGAAAGGGAAAGAUGCAGAAGGCUCCAACUUGCAAAAAUUAAGACAUCAAUAAUGUCACUUUAUGGAGAGAUCAUUACUUUCAGCUUUUUCAUUUCCAUUACAUACCUGCUCAAUCCGCUGUUUCAGUUGGUUGAAGCUUUGUUUAGAAAAGGCUCGGAAGGUGCCACCAAUUGUGACAGAAUCUGGAAUAACAUUGUAUGCACUACCUCCUUGGCACUUUCCAAUCGUCACAACCUGUGUGAACAUGUGUUAUGUAACGAAGACAUGAGGGAUUGUAUCGCCUUCAACAAGCACGACUUUCAUAUUUUUAAGUAAUCAGAAAAUUUUCACAAAUAAAAAUGCUCUGACACACAUCCUAUAUAUCCCUCGAUUAUCAUUAAAAGCUUGUUUUAUAAUUGUAUUCUUCUAUGUCAUCUUUUUUGUUGUCAAUGAUACUAAAUUGCAGUUGUGGUUAUGCUGCAAUCUUUUAUAUAGUGGUAAAAUACAGGAAAAUGUGGCUGAUGCGGCCACAAUCGUUUAUGCUAUAAUGUUUAAUUAAGUUAUUUAUCCAAACAAGGCCUAAGUAUGAAAUAAGUGUAAAUAAGUAGAUAAUAGGAAGGGAAAAUGAAGAAUCGGCAAAAUGUACCUGUGAGUCUAAAGGAUCAGCCUCGCGAGAAACAAGGUGUUGUAAACUAAGAAUGACAUUGGAAGCUGCCAAUAUAGGGUCGAUAGACUGUUGAGGAAUAGCUGCAUGACCACCCUUUCCACUUAUUUUUGCUUCAAAGAAGCCACUUCCAGCCAAUAUUGGACCAGACUUAGAGGCCACUUCACCUAUUGGUAAGUCAGGAGCAAUAUGUAAUCCAAAUAUAGCGGUAACAUUUUCUAAUGCUCCAGUGUCUAAAAUUUUCUUAGCCCCUCCACCUCCUUCCUCUGCUGGUUGGAAAACAAGAACAACAGUUCCCUUGUUUAGUCAACAAAAUGAAGAAUUUAUCAGUAAUCCAUGAGAGUAUGAAGACUAAAAUAACAGGACAAUACACAGAAAAGUAGCAGAUAUGUGCUCUACGCAUUGACACGGACACAGAUACCAUCAUGACAUUGCUACUGACACGUAGACACUGAUAAUAAUUUAAGGAAAAAAAAAUGACUUAAUGUAACCAUAUGUAUUGGUGUCGAGUAUCGAACACACUUUCAAUUUGAAGUGUCAGUGCUAUCUAGAUAUAUGCUAAAUGAUAGAAUGAUUCUAAUUUACAAAAGUUGCAUCACAAAAGAUAUAGCAGUUUUCCCAUAAUUUGCUACUAAUAUGGUCCAAACCAAAGAAAUAAGUCUCACUUUGACAUUUUUGGACUUAAUUCAAAUAAAAAGUAUGAAAUCAUCAGAAAGACUAAAUUUCUUGAGUUAAUGACAAUUUGGACAAUAGAGUAGUAGCUACAAUUUUAAUUUGCAUCGGAAUCGGUUUAAAAAACAAAGCAAAAUAUUUUUUUAUCGUUCUUAACCCUUUAAUUCUUAUAGGGGGAAGAAGCUCUAGUAAUCCGGUCCAGAGAGUAAAUAAAGUUUGGCUAAUGAUUUUUCUAGCCAGGGAUCGAACAUGGCUGCUCCCAAUCCGUUCAACCUUAACCGAAACUCAUUAACCACUUGGUUAAGCAGAAAAUUAUCACACACCUGUAUCUCUUUUUCAUGCUGUUUAAGAAUCUUUGCAGCACCAAGUACCAUGGUAACAUGAGCAUCAUGACCACACGCGUGCAUCUUUCCGGCUACUUUACUCUUAUGCUCCCACUCCACCAUUUCCUAUGAUUUUAACACAAUAAUAAAUCAAUAAUGACCAUUUUACAACUAUCUUUGACACAAUUCAAACUCAUCACUUCGACGUUCCAAGGCUAAGCUCUUACCACUGGGCGCGCUAUCACCUCAUGUGUCAUACACAAAAUUACAUAACCCUUUGUUAUUUUAACCCCAUACAUAUAAAGGGAAAAGCUAACAUGUGCCCUUAAGCACUUGUUAGUAUACUAUAGAUAGUAAUUUUGCAUUAAAAGUUGUGCAUUUCAUAUCUUUAACAUGUGCCCUAGGACACAUGUAAGCAUGACCCAUAUAUAAAUUAGAACAUAGAACCAUCUCAUAAAACUAUUGAAUUAACCAUUUUGAUGGUUUAAGGAAAAUAACAUAGAUGAAUCUAAUAUAAUAUAAUAUAAUUAACCUGCAUAGGAAGAGCAUCCAUGUCAGCUCUUAUAGCAACAAAAGGAGAGGAUCCAGUUCCUAUGAAACCAAUGACACCAGUGAUUGCAACUGGAUGUUUAUAAGGUAUGCCCAUUUUAUCUAAUUCUGAUCUUAUCAGUUCACUUGUUUCAAAUUCUUGAUAACCCAAUUCAGGAUUCUCAUGAAUUUUCCUUCUGAUAUUGAUCAUCCAAUCAAAAACCUCAGAACUCUUGGCACUGUCAAGAAAAUUGUUGAAUGAAGAAUCAUCUGUUGAUGAUGAAAUUUGUGUUGUAGUAAAGACGUGUAACAUGAAUAUGAUGAUGGAAAAAUGGAAACAUUUGAAGGAACAAGACAUGGUUUGUUUUGGUGAUGAUGAAUUGCAGUAAAUUUUUUUGUGUUUGUAAGAUGAAGUGGUUGGCUUUUCAAUGAUUCUAACUUCCAGUGAUUUGGAGCGUUGUCCCACUCAUGAUUAUCCUCGGGUGAAUAAAUAUCUGAAUUUGCAUCAUUCCCGUUUUUUUCAUGCUCUCUCCACUCAAACUAAAUUAAAAAGCUAAUAAAUUAAAAAGUGAAUAAGUGAAGUGUCUGGGUUUUUAACCCGGAGUCGUACAGAUAUAAUGCGAUAUAUUUAUUAAUUGAGCUAAAUUUACGGGGUAAAUUUGUGAUUUUUAAGAAAAUCAUUGGUUUGGUUAAUUUUAAGGGUAAAAUUACAGUGUUUAAGUUUCUUUCAUAUAUAGAUUAAGACAAACAAUACAUUAUACAUGAAUGAUGAAUGAUUAAUCAUAACAAUUUUAUGUCUACUAAGCUCAGUUUAGUUGAUAGAGCUAUUAUAUUGGAGUAUAUUUGUAAGGGCUGAGUUCAAAUCUCUCACACUCCACUUAUAGAAUAUAUAUAUAUAUAUAUAUGGGAGAGAUCAUAUUACACCGGUGUAAUAUUUGAGUAAUGUUACACCGUUCAAUAACGCUUCAACGAAUACAAAUUUUACAAAAUCCGUUGGAUUGAAAGUUUAUAUCAUAUAGAUCCUUGUUCAAUUCUAUAAAAAUCUAAAAUCAUUUGAUAUGUUAUUGAGAUUGGUCAAUCUUAACGGUAUUCAAUAAAAACACAUAAAACGUUAAUCUUGAUCGGUCUCGAUAACAUAUCAAACGAAUUUAGAUUUUUGUGAAAUUGAACAUUGAUGAUCUAAAUGAUAUAAACUUUCAAUCAAACGGUGGAUUUUGUAAAAUUUGUAUUCGUUGAAGCGUUAUUAACAUUACUCAAAUGUUACACCGGUGUAAUUUGAUCCCUCCUAUAUAUAUAUAUAUAUAUAUAACAAUUUUACCAUUAUAUUGGAGUAUAUUUGUAAGAGCCGGAGUUCACUUAUCAAAAGAAAAAGUAUAACAAUUUUACAGUUUUAUUUUCUAAAGCGACAAUUAUUUUGCAACGAAGCGAUGAUUACUAGUAUAAAAUACUCUCUUUUUCUUCUUUUUUUAAUGUACCAAAAAAAAUGUUUUUUUUUUGUCCAGUCCAUUUGACCUUUAAUUUGUUCAUUCUCAUAAAUAAAUUUAAAAUUAAAAAAAAAAAAAACACUAUAACUGAAGUUGUCUUGUCUUACUAUUUUUUUAGCAAAUUAAACACACCCUUAUUGAGUCGGAGAAAAACACAAAUGUGACAUUAUUAUGAGACGAACGGAGAACAUUAGAGUUUAAACACAAUACAAUUAUCGCUUUUAAAAGAAAUAUAUUUCCACCUUCCCUAACUAUAAGCACAAAUUUGACAAAAAAUAAUAAAACUUGUGCCUAAAUGCAACUCUAUUUUUCAAUUUCUAGAUACAUUUCUUUUCCAAUAAACCCAUAGUUAAUACCUUCUUUGUCUAUUGGAGUAAGCGCAGGAAAAGUUGUCGAUGCAUUGUAGUAUUCACAACGAUUUAGUAACUUCAGUACUGACUAAUCUCUAUAAAAAAAUGGAUGAACAAAUUAAUAAUGUAGUUUUCUCCCUAUGUAUAAGUGUGAGGACCAAAUCUACAUUAUUGAGAAUAUACAUUAAUGAAUCUUGUGGUCCUCCUUUCCAUUAAGUGUAACCAAAUCUUCAAAACCUUUUGAUUUGAUUCAUAUAAAUAUAUUAUGAGGACCUUUAUCAAUUCUUUUUUGUGCAUGGACAUCAUGUUAAAUGCAACCAAAUCUUUAUAGCUUAUGCUAUGCCUCAACUAUUACUCAUAACCAUGCCAAAUUUGAUCCAAUAGUGAAUGAGUUUGCUUGGUUGCCAAAGGCUAUAUAGUUCUAAUCCGCCUAGCCAAGUUAUAGCCUUUUUUAGUGUCCUAGGCCGGCCCAAUAGACUGAAAGCAAGGAACUUCACUCUAGGGAAGUAAUGAAGGGUAAAUAGCGUAGAUAAGAAAGGGCGUCGUUAGCAGGCUAGACAUAUAUUGAAUGAAGAAAGAGAUGCCUCGGCUUUCAUAGGAGUUGGAGUACCAUCGAAACACAUCGUUCUAGUUUUUACAAACGCACCUUGAUCAUCUCGGAUUCACAUUCCAAUUCCAAAUUUUUGUUGGUCGUUGAAGCUGCGUCAAUAUUGCAUUUAACCUCGCCUUCCAUAGAGGGCUACCAACGUACUGCUUUUUCAUUAGGAAUGCUAGCUGCUGCACCUUCUUUCUAUGUUUAUGACUUACUCCUUGCUGGAAAUACAAAUCCCUCAAUAUGCAUUUUAAUAUUGAUUAAAAGAAUGCUCGAAAUAUAGAUAUGAAUGGGAUACUAACUAUUCAAGAAAACUCUAAGAAUUGAAAUAAAAUUUGUCUGAACUCAUAAACUCACUAAUCUAUAAUUCAUCAUGAUAUUUGCCCUCAACACCAGGUACAUCAUGCUCAUGUUUUAGUAGAUAACUAGCUGCUAAAGAUGCAUGAAGUGCAGCGCCAUAAGGCAGCCCAUCUUCAUUGAUUUUGAGAUAAGGUGAGUGAAACGACUCGGCCUGUUUAUCCGAGGCAUUCUUCACUCCAAGGAAGAAGAAGUAACCAGGUAUGACCUCUUGAUAGAAUGAAAAAUCUUCAGCUCCCAUGGAUGGUGUCAUGACACUAUUAACUUUAUCGAUACCAAACAUAUUCACCGCAACAUUCACAAAAUGCUCAUGCAGUUCACCGUUGUUUACAGUUGGAGGAUUGAA